AGUAUUAUAAGCCCUCGUCGUUAGAUGUUAACGGGUCGUUAGCUCAGCCGGUAGAGCAGCGGACUUUUAAUCCGUU
rnacentral:tRNA from 1 species